rnacentral:misc_RNA from 1 species
UUUCCGUAGGUGAACCUGCGGAAGGAUCAUUAUCGAAUUUCGAGGGGAAGGAAGAUGAGGAGUGGAGACUGUCGCUGGCUUUCCCGCCUGGGAAGCAUGUGCACGCCUUGCUUUUCGUUGACCUUUCUCUUACUCUCACACCUGUGCACCCAUUGUAGGUCCUCGAAAGAGGAUCUAUGUUUUUAUCAUCACACGCAUCGUAUGUCCAUAGAAUGUAACAUGAUCGUCGAUCGACCUCGCGGUCGGGUGGCGGUCUAAAUAAAUAAAUACAACUUUUAACAAUGGAUCUCUUGGCUCUG